GCACUUACUAUGACAGCGCAAAUACUAAAAGUGGGACGAAUCAGGGAAGAUUAGCAUGCUCUCAAGCAAGGAUGACACAGAAAUUCAUGAAACAGUGGAUUCAUAU